GAUGAACGCUGGCGGCGUGCUUAACACAUGCAAGUCGAACGAUGAAGCCCAGCUUGCUGGGUGGAUUAGUGGCGAACGGGUGAGUAACACGUGAGUAACCUGCCCUUAACUCUGGGAUAAGCCUGGGGAACUGGGUCUAAUACCGAAUAGGAUCAUCCACCGCUUGGUGGGUGUUGGAAAGAUUUAUCGGUUUUGGAUGGACUCGCGGCGUAUCAGCUUGUUGGUGAGGUAAUGGCUCACCAAGGCGACGACGGGUAGCCGGCCUGAGAGGGUGACCGGCCACACUGGGACUGAGACACGGCCCAGACUCCUACGGGAGGCAGCAGUGGGGAAUAUUGCACAAUGGGCGGAAGCCUGAUGCAGCGACGCCGCGUGAGGGAUGACGGCCUUCGGGUUGUAAACCUCUUUCAGUAGGGAAGAAGCGAAAGUGACGGUACCUGCAGAAGAAGCACCGGCUAACUACGUG
rnacentral:rRNA from 1 species